GUAACUAACAAGUAAUUAGAAACAAACAAACGAGCAGAACGACUGUAUUUCUGCAGUUAAUAUGAUCUUUCACGCGAUUUAACUUUACAAAGUAGGAAGAAGAUGGUAGGAAUAGACUAUAUCUUAAGAUCUUUUCUUUGUUUUAUUAAAAGUUGUCACUAUGCUGUUUGGUUUUCAGAUUAAGGAGGACAUUCUCGUGGCUGACGAGCACGCGCCUCCCACAUCCACCUCAGACUUCUGUAAGACUAAAAGCUCCUUUAAUUUGGAAGAGCGAAUAGAUUUGAUAACCGCAGUGUGCCAUCUCUUUAGGGAAGCUGCGUCACUCACAGGCUCUAACAACGCAUGUCAUGAACCUCUCAAGUAAGUUGGUAAAUAGGAUGGAAGUGUGAUGGAGAGGCAUUGAAAGGUUGAGUAAACACUUGAACAC